CCUACGGGAGGCAGCAGUGAGGAAUAUUGCGCAAUGGGGGAAACCCUGACGCAGCAACGCCGCGUGGGUGAAGAAGCCUUCGGGUCGUAAAGCCCUUUCGGACGGGACGAACGCUCCGCGGUGACAACCCGCGGAGUCUGACGGUACCGUAAGAAGAAGCACCGGCUAACUCCGUGCCAGCAGCCGCGGUAAUACGGAGGGUGCAAGCGUUGUUCGGAAUUACUGGGCGUAAAGCGCGUGUAGGCGGCCUUGCAAGCCAGACGUGAAAGCCCUCGGCUUAACCGGGGAAGUGCGUCUGGAACUGCUCGGCUCGAGUACGGGAGAGGGAGGCGGAAUUCCCAGUGUAGAGGUGAAAUUCGUAGAUAUUGGGAGGAACACCGGUGGCGAAAGCGGCCUCCUGGACCGAUACUGACGCUGAGACGCGAAAGCGUGGGGAGCAAACAGGAUUAGAUACCCUGGUAGUCCACGCUGUAAACUAUGGACACUAGGUAUGGGGAGUAUCGACCCUUCCCGUGCCGAGGUUAACGCAUUAAGUGUCCCGCCUGGGGAGUACGGUCGCAAGACUAAAACUUAAAGGAAUUGACGG
rnacentral:rRNA from 1 species